GGGUUGGAGAUUGCUGCAAUAAGCAACAUCUCUUGCUGCUCUCACUCUACAUUUGGUGUAAGAAGGAAAAGUGAAGAUAUGAUUGCCUAAAUUUGCUUUCAGUGUUUGCAUAUGUAAAUGCAAAAUAUUU